rnacentral:snRNA from 1 species
CUACAUACUCGGCCCGCGACC